ACCACAAGGCGCACUCGUUAUUAGAGGCCAGAGAGGGACAGAUGCUUGGUGGGAAUUGUAGUGCGAAGCCAAGAGGCUCCCCCCUCCCCCCCUUCCCCCCUGCCCCAAGUGCUUAGACCGAAGGCGGCGCUGCGCCACCGGGGGACGCCCUGGGCUCAUUUCUCUGACAGUCCUUCUACUAGCUUCAUUUUCCUUGUCAACAAAAUGGGGAUAAUCACAUCUACCUUGGAAUUGUUAUGAGGAUCACAUGGAGAAACACAAGUGAAAUGCUCUGUAGAUAUAAAGCAUGUAUCAACGAUG
rnacentral:lncRNA from 1 species